AUUGAACGCUGGCGGCAGGCCUAACACAUGCAAGUCGAGCGGCGAGGCGGACGGGGAAGAAAUGCCUAGGAAUCUGCAUGGUCGUGGGGGAGAAGGUCAGGAAACGGGCGCUAAUACCACUAACUCUCAGAAGAGCAUGGGUCGGAUUAGCUUGUUGGUGGGGUAAAGGCAUACCUAGGCGACGAUCCGUAACUGGUCUGAGUGGAUGAUCAGUAACACUGUAACUGAGACACGUUCCAGACUCCUACGGGAGGCAGCAGUGGGGAAUAUUGGACAAUGGGCGCAAGCCUGAUCCAGCCAUGCCGCGUGUGUGAAGAAGGUCUUCGGAUUGUAAAGCACUUUAAGUUGGGAGGCGUUACCAACAGAAUAAGCACCGGCUAACUGCGUGCCAGCAGCCGCGGUAAUAC
rnacentral:rRNA from 1 species